rnacentral:rRNA from 1 species
ACAUAGGGGGCGAGCGUUAUCCGGAAUUAUUGGGCGUAAAGGGUGCGUAGGCGGCUUUUUAAGUCUUUGGUAUAAGUGCAGUGCUUAACGCUGUGAUGCUAAGGAAACUGGAAGGCUUGAGUAAGAUAGAGGCAAGUGGAAUUCCAUGUGUAGCGGUAAAAUGCGUAAAUAUAUGGAGGAACACCAGUGGCGAAGGCGGCUUGCUGGGUCUUUACUGACGCUGAGGCACGAAAGCGUGGGGAGCAAACAGG